UACGAAGGGGGCUAGCGUUGCUCGGAAUCACUGGGCGUAAAGCGCACGUAGGCGGAUUGUUAAGUCAGGGGUGAAAUCCUGGAGCUCAACUCCAGAACUGCCUUUGAUACUGGCGAUCUUGAGUCCGGGAGAGGUGAGUGGAACUGCGAGUGUAGAGGCGAAAUUCGUAGAUAUUCGCAAGAACACCAGUGGCGAAGGCGGCUCACUGGCCCGGUACUGACGCUGAGGUGCGAAAGCGUGGGGAGCGAACAGG
rnacentral:rRNA from 1 species